rnacentral:snRNA from 1 species
CACGGACCAAGGAGUCUGACA